rnacentral:rRNA from 1 species
AGAGUUUGAUCCUGGCUCAGGAUGAACGCUAGCUACAGGCUUAACACAUGCAAGUCGAGGGGCAGCAUCAUCAAAGCUUGCUUUGAUGGAUGGCGACCGGCGCACGGGUGAGUAACACGUAUCCAACCUGCCGACAACACUGGGAUAGCCUUUCGAAAGAAAGAUUAAUACCGGAUGGCAUAGUUUUCCGCAUGGGAUAAUUAUUAAAGAAUUUCGGUUGUCGAUGGGGAUGCGUUCCAUUAGGCAGUUGGCGGGGUAACGGCCCACCAAACCAACGAUGGAUAGGGGUUCUGAGAGGAAGGUCCCCCACAUUGGAACUGAGACACGGUCCAAACUCCUACGGGAGGCAGCAGUGAGGAAUAUUGGUCAAUGGACGAGAGUCUGAACCAGCCAAGUAGCGUGAAGGAUGACUGCCCUAUGGGUUGUAAACUUCUUUUAUACGGGAAUAAAGUUAGCCACGUGUGGCUUUUUGUAUGUACCGUAUGAAUAAGGAUCGGCUAACUCCGUGCCAGCAGCCGCGGUAAUACGGAGGAUCCGAGCGUUAUCCGGAUUUAUUGGGUUUAAAGGGAGCGUAGGCGGGUUGUUAAGUCAGUUGUGAAAGUUUGCGGCUCAACCGUAAAAUUGCAGUUGAUACUGGCGACCUUGAGUGCAACAGAGGUAGGCGGAAUUCGUGGUGUAGCGGUGAAAUGCUUAGAUAUCACGAAGAACUCCGAUUGCGAAGGCAGCUUACUGGAUUGUAACUGACGCUGAUGCUCGAAAGUGUGGGUAUCAAACAGGAUUAGAUACCCUGGUAGUCCACACAGUAAACGAUGAAUACUCGCUGUUGGCGAUAUACGGUCAGCGGCCAAGCGAAAGCAUUAAGUAUUCCACCUGGGGAGUACGCCGGCAACGGUGAAACUCAAAGGAAUUGACGGGGGCCCGCACAAGCGGAGGAACAUGUGGUUUAAUUCGAUGAUACGCGAGGA